CCCUCGACCCUAUCCCGGCCCCAGACCCCAUUUGAGGGAGCCUGGAGCCAGAGAGUGAGCACUCCGAGGCUGGAGAUACGCAAGAGGCGCCUUCCUAUCUCUGGCAAAGGGCCCCAGGAUUGGUCCAACAUGUGUUCGAUAAGAAAUUAUUAAGAGGGAGGAAGAGGAGCAGGUCCUGGCUGCACUUCAGUUUCCUCAUCUGUAAAGUGGAGGAACUACACCCGGCUCGUCCAGCUGGGACAGGUCUGGGGAGCAAGGGCUGUGUGUGGUUUGCAAAGGAAUCCUGCCUCGAGGUCUCUGCAUCUCCUGUGCCCACCCCCUGGGAUGCCAACUCAUAUUAUUCUGCUUGGCAUGUCCAUGCCAGCCUGAAAACUUCUACUCAAACCUCAAAGCCCCGUUUAUAAUGCCCUCUGCUUAGGAAGUCUUUCUGGGCAUCCCCCUCUAGGCUCCUCUAGUCCAUGUUCUCUUUCACCAGCCCAUGG